CAGGGGGCGACAGCGAGGCGUGUGUGUCACCGUGCCGCAGCAGUGGGCAACUGGACAACAAAGUAUGAAUAUUCUACCGAGUGCUCGAGUCAUUGUUUCCUGUCGGACCUUUUAAGCGACGGACACAUUGAUCCAGACAAGCAGCAACAAUGGUAGACAUCCGGCGUGUCAACGUGGUCAAACAUUCAACAAGAGCAAGAAUUCUACUGAUUUUGACUCAUAUCUGACAAGAAGGAAGUGAACGCUAAGGAGCAAAGGUGGCGCCGGUAAGACCCACCUCAGACUUGCAUUGUGACGCGACCUUGACACCCUCUGAGGUGGAUGAAAGCGGGACAGCCCAGUUCUCAGAGACCAGGACUAACGGCGGAUCAGGACCAGGCAGUUCUCAGAGACCAGGACUAACGGCGGAUCAGGACCAGGCAGUUCUCAGAGACCAGGACUAACGGCGGAUCAGGACCGGGAUCAUUGGGGCUUGACCACGACCUUCAAAGCAGACUUUUAUGCCUGCAACUUUAUACUUUUAUACCUGCAACUUUAUACUUUUAUACCUGCAACUUGAC